rnacentral:tRNA from 1 species
GGCUAGGUAGCUCAGCUGGUUUAGAGCACACGAUUCAUAAUCGUGGGGUCGGGAGUUCAAGUCUCCCCCUAGCUACCA